rnacentral:tRNA from 1 species
CGCGGGAUAGAGCAGCGGUAGCUCGUCGGGCUCAUACCCCGAAGGUCGGGAGUUCAAAUCUCCCUCCCGCAAUCA